CACGAGAGUCUCACUGUCUUAAGGAAAUUUCCAGUGAAAUUGAAUUUGUAGUGAAGAUGCUACAUCCAAAUUGUUAGACAAGAAGUCCCCAUGGAACUUUACUGGAGACUUAUGUGGCUUAAAUUAAUUUAUUUCUUACAAAUAAAUAGUUUUAAAAUGUGGUGUUAACCCCUCGGAUCAACUAGGGUUAUCAAAGCUCACUCUUUUAUUAAAAGAAAGCCAACUCAAAAAGUUAUGUCUUUGGGAUUAGAUAAGUGGGACAGUUUGGUUGGGGCGACCGCCUUUAAAAAAGUAACGAAGGCGGGCUUAAGAUACAUAUUUAUGUGAUGUCUGACUGCCAAGGGGAGAUCCUGAGCAGCACACUUACUUUUUAGGUGGGUUUAAGUGACCCGUUGAUUUAGGGUGAAAUAGUUAACGAUAAACA
rnacentral:rRNA from 1 species